rnacentral:rRNA from 1 species
UACGUAGGUGACAAGCGUUGUCCGGAUUUACUGGGCGUAAAGAGCGCGCAGGCGGUCGUUCAAGUCGAGUGUGAAAGCCCCCGGCUCAACUGGGGAGGGUCACUCGAUACUGAUCGACUCGAAGGCAGAAGAGGGAAGCGGAAUUCCCGGUGUAGUGGUGAAAUGCGUAGAUAUCGGGAGGAACACCAGUGGCGAAGGCGGCUUUCUGGACGGUGACUGACGCUGAGACGCGAAAGCGUGGGGAGCAAAACAGG